GACGAACGCUGGCGGCGUGCUUAACACAUGCAAGUCGAGCGGAAAGGCCCUUCGGGGUACUCGAGCGGCGAACGGGUGAGUAACACGUGAGUAAUCUGCCCUUCACACUGGGAUAGCCCUCCGAAAGGGGGAUUAAUACCGGAUAGUAUCAGUGCUCGCGUGGGUGGUGGUGGAAAGGUUUUUCGGUGGGGGAUGUGCUCGCGGCCUAUCAGCUUGAUGGUGGGGUAAUGGCCUACCAUGGCUUCGACGGGUAGCCGGCCUGAGAGGGUGACCGGCCACACUGGGACUGAGACACGGCCCAGACUCCUACGGAGGCAGCAGUGGGGAAUAUUGGACAAUGGGCGGAAGCCUGAUCCAGCAACGCCGCGUGAGGGAUGACGGCCUUCGGGUUGUAAACCUCUUUCAGCACCGACGAAGCCUUCGGGUGACGGUAGGUGUAGAAGAAGGACCGGCCAACUACGUGCCAGCAGCCGCCGUAACAC
rnacentral:rRNA from 1 species